ACAAUAUCUCAACCACUAUCCAAGGUACCUAACCUAUCUACUCAAACUGUCAUCCAACAAACCUUACGCAGAGAUUAAAACAGAGACUGAUGAAGAUACCUUUUUUUUUAGAGUCUUUAUAAUAUUAUUGUUUAUAUUAUUCAUAUCAAAUGUUUUGUUACAGGAUAUUUGCAAGUGAAAGUCAGGUCCUGGAUUGUCUUCUCACACAUGGAUGUGGAUAACACAGCAGUUGUUUGUCACAACAGUUCAGACCUCAGACAGAAACGCAUAUGAGAGUUCGCCGAGCCUAUACCUUGAGAAUUUACUGCCAGUCCAGAAACUGAUAGUCAAGACACUGAAAGCGUCAAACUUGAGCAGGUGGUGUUUUCUAACCAUUUUCCCUUUCCAACUCCAGUAGAAGAAGACUGUAAGGGUAAGGUAAACUGCAACGAUAAAACAACGGACAAGACUUGUUUGAUUGAAAAAGACUGUCUUCCAAACCCAUUCGAGCACUUUUUGCUGUGAAGAGACGGAUUGGCAAUGGGAAAUGGGUUGACUGGAUUUAAACAUUGCGAUGCAUCACGGUUACUCCAACAAAAUUCAACAACUUUAGAAUUUGGUAAUAUGGGGAUAGGCCUAAAAUAGUGAAGUGAAUAUAUAUGUCAGUAUCAUUAUAAAACAGGCAAUGACAAUAUUAUACAAAUUGCAAUUUAAAUAUCACUACAAUUCUAGUAUCAUCAUCAUAAUCAUCCUCAGAGAAGUACAAGUAACUUCCAAAAUGAAGGAAACACCAACAUAAAGUGUCUUAAUAGGGUGUUGGGCCACCACGAGCCGCCAGAACUGUUUCAAUGCACCUUGCAUAGAUUCUACAAGUGCCUGGAUCUCUACUGGAGGGAGGCGACACCAAUUGUCCUCUAGAAAUUCCAUAAUUUUGUGUUUUGUUGAUGCUGGUGGACAACGCUGUCUCAGGCGCCACUCCGGAAUCUCCAAUAAGUGUUCAAUUGCGUUGAGAUCUGGUGACUGAGACAAACACACACACACACACCUUAAACCCUGUAUGCUCCUUUGAGACCCCUCUUUCAAAGUCACUGACAUCUCUUCAUCCAGCCAUGGUAGCCAAAAUAAUGGGCAACUGGGCAUUUUUAUACAUGACCCUUAGAAUGAAGGGAUAAUAAUAAUUGCAUAAUUAACUCAGGAACCACACCUGUGUGGAAGGACCUGCUUUCAAUAUACUUUGUAUCCCUCAUUUAAUCAAGUGUUUCCUUUAUUUUGGCAGUUACAUGUGUUGGACAUCAUAAUGCUUUUGGACUGGCCUAAGUGGCCAUACAGAAUGUUGAUAAAUAUCUGUAAUGAAUCGAGUUAGAAAUUAUUUAGCUUAAACUAUUGACAGAUCUGUAAUCCUUAAGUGUACAACAGGGUAAUGACAUUAGCAUGUUAAUUGCCUGAUUUAAUUAGAAUUCAGAAGUAAAUUGGUCACAUUUAACAUGAGUUACUCUCAUGCCUAUGGAGCAUGCUGUAAUUACACUAAUAAUAAUGUUGCAUUAAAUGCCCAAUAAUUACAUAAUAAUGUAUGUAUUGCUUUGUUAUUACAAAGGUAAACUGUUUCUGGUACAACACUGUUACUAUUACCAUUUGUAUGAUAACAAUAACUGUCCAUUGCUAUGUAUUUACAAAGCAAUAAUCAAGUUACUAUGUUACAAAAUGUGAAUUCAAUGUUUUUAAGAUUAUCUAUUUUAUGCUAAAAAACAGUACCUAUAUUAUUUCAGUUGCCAGGAUAAUUGUAAUACAGUGGAUGUAAAAUGUAACAAAAAAUAUGUACAAUUAAAAUUGGACUGUAACUCCAGUUGCCCAAAGGUAAUAUGGCAUAUUGAGGACCCAAAACCUUCAAUAGUAAGUCUGAGAUUCCUUUAUUGUUGCAUGCUGAAUGCAAUCAUAUUUUUUAUUGGUAUCAAACCAAAUUUUAUUUGUCCCAUACACGUGUUUAGCAGAUGUUAUUGCGGGUGUAGCGAAAUGCUUAUUUUCAUGUGUGAAUGAGUUUCGUUGGAGUGCAUGAAUCAAUUUAUUGACUAACCCAUGCUGUCUAAUUUGGAGUUGACAUAUUGUAGAUAAAUAAAACAAAUUGAUGCAUAAACCCAUUAUUUUUGGACUGCAGGUGAUUGACUAUACAAUAGCCAGAGUUCAGUGUACAUGAGGACAACAUUUUGAACUCUGUGGUCUUCUAGGGUGCCCUGCAAAACUGUUACAACAACGCAGGGAAAAAGCCACUUAAGGAGAGAAAGAUCAAGAUGGUCAGAAAGAGUACACAGUCUGCAAAAACUACCUGAAAGAAGCUUCAGAUAGGUUUCAGAAUCUCCAUGUGAUAGUUUAUGGUGAGUAUCUAUUCCUUGUAUUCAAUUCCAAAAACACUAUAAGUACAGGCUAAAUGUUUGGUUAACUCAGUUGAUAACAGGAUGUCCUUCAGAUAUGUUGAACUUGCAUCAAACUGUUCUUUAGCGUAUCGACAGAAAAAAAGUCAACCAAUUGUCAUAUUUAGACAUUUUCCCGACUGAUCAAUUCGCAUUU
rnacentral:lncRNA from 1 species